rnacentral:rRNA from 2 species
UGCAGUCGAGCGGUAGAGAGGAGCUUGCUUCUUCUUGAGAGCGGCGGACGGGUGAGAAAUGCCUAAGACUCUGCGUGGUAGUGGGGGACAACGUCUCGAAAGGCACGCUAAUACCGCACACGUCCUACGGGAGAAAGUGGGGGAUCUUCAGACCUCACUCUAUCAUAUGACCCUAGGUCGGAUUAGCUUGUAUGUGAGGUAGUGGCUCACCUAGGCAACGAUCCGUAUCUGGUCUGAGAGGAUGAUCACUCACACUGGAACUGACACACGGUCCACACUCCUACGGGAGGCCGCAGUGGGAAAUAUUGGACAGUGGGAGAAAGCCUGAUCCAGCCGUGCCGCGUGUGUAAAGAAGGUCCUCAGAUUGUAAAGCUCUUUAAGUUGGGAGGAAGGGUUGUAUCUUAAUACUCUGCAACUUUGACGUUACCAACAAAAUAAGCACCGGCUAUCUCUGUGCCAACACCCGCGGUAAUACAGAGGGUGCGAGCGUUUCUCAGAUUUAGUGGGCGUAACGCGCGCGUACGCGGCUUGAUAAGAUG